rnacentral:antisense_RNA from 1 species
AGUAAAACAGGAUUUUAGUAAAGCUAAGCAAAAUAAAUAGUGUUAAGUAAAUAAUAUAAUUGAUAAAUAAGUAGAAAUAUACCAAGGGAAGGGGAUAAGAAAAGUAUUGAACAGUAAAAUGGUGCGUCCGAGUAGACUCGAACUACCGACCCCCACCA